rnacentral:lncRNA from 12 species
AUGGGUCCUCAGCUACACUUCAGCAGCACCUACUCAGAGGAGUUCAGUUACCCGGCUCGGGUCAAACCCACCCGGCCCAGACCGUUCUCUGCAUAUCGCAGGAACAAUCCUCAUCCACGACCGGACUUUCUGAUGCCAAGAAUGCUGCAGACAGGAUACGGCUCACGGAAAUACUUUCAGACAACUACUCCUUCUACCACUUUUCUACCUCCAGUCAGACACAUGUCAGUCCAGUAUCCAGAUGCACAAACAGCACAUGGACAGUCAAUGCAGAGCUCAUCACAAAGAGAUUACAAAGCACCUGUGGUCUCGUCUGCAGUUUGUACACUGCCACCUGCUGCCUGCUUUCUCAAACCACAACCAAACAACUUUGCUCAUGCAACAAUCUCAAACACACAAGGGAAAUAUUCAGAAACAGAUCAUAUCAGAUCAGCUUGGAACCAGCAGAUGGAGAUCAUGCCAUCUUUAAAAACCUUCAAACACCAGGGUACCCAUCAUCAAAGAUCGCGCUCAAAAUCCACUACUGAUUGCAGUGAAGGACACAGCUGUUUCUAUGUGGUGAAGCCAUAUCAAGUCGGACACUACAUCAUCCACCCAGAGUUUGUGUCAGAAGCAAAGCACUACUAAAAGCCACAUUGUUUGGGCAUUUUAUAUCUAUUUUUUUUUUCCAUUUAUUGUCAGUUUAUAAAUGUCAUUUUACAGUGUAUUAUUGAGGUACGUUAUGUGUUUGGAGAUCCUGCCUUGAGAUCUAAAUGUGCAUUACAUGACAAAUAAACAACGUUUAUGAUGUGCCUGUUAAAUGUUUGUUAUUUUGACUUACAAACAUCACCAUGGGAACCAGUAGGCUAAGUACAACAUAUUCAUAUAACAUAUUUUCAUAAAAUAGGUUAAAAAUGUCAAAUAGGCUACAUUAAAAUGGUUAACUUUUUUUCAAACUCACACCAGUUAAAUCAGUUAAUACAUUUCAAAUACUAUUUUAACAAAUGGUUAAAAUAGUUACUGAAUUCAAAACCAUUACCUCAAAUCGCCUAUGACAGUAGUUAUAAAAAACUUUUUUUUUUUUUUUAAUGGCUAAAAUAUACAUCAUUUAAAAUAAAAAGUGAUACUAAAAAAAAAAGAAAAUGGAAAAAACUUUAAUUAUAU